rnacentral:rRNA from 1 species
UACAGAGGGUGCAAACGUUGCUCGGAAUUAUUGGGCGUAGAGCGCACGUAGGCGGCUUGUUAAGUCGGAUGUGAAAGCCCUGGGCUCAACCCAGGAAGUGCAUUCGAUACUGGCAAGCUUGAGUAUGGAAGAGGGUCGCGGAAUUCCCGGUGUAGAGGUGAAAUUCGUAGAUAUCGGGAGGAACACCAGUGGCGAAGGCGGCGACCUGGGCCAAUACUGACGCUGAGGUGCGAAAGCGUGGGGAGCAAACAGG